CUCUCUCUCUCGGUCAGGCAAUGUUGUUAUCGGUACUUGGAUGGAUGGACUUUGAUUGUUCCAGCGAUAUGUUUUUUUUCUCUUCCUCACUUUUCUGCUCCUCAUCAUCAUCAUCGUCUUUCACGUUUUUCGAUAUAUUAUUGCCAUGAUCAGCGACUGUCAAAAUAUCACGAAAGCAAAAAAAAAAAUAACAGGAAGCAGAAUUUUAAAAAUUUACAAUGCAAACAAAAACCAAAUCAAUGACGUCCAGAACUGUAUGAUUGAAUAAAUGAAUCAAUGAAUGAGCCAAAUAAGCAUUAUUUUUCGAGUUUUUUCUUCUUCUUCUUCUUUGUCAAUAUUCGGCCAUCACAUGUAUAUAUAUUGUUAUCAUCGGCUAAAUGUGUGGCUUUCUCAAACCGAUACAAAAUGAAAAAAGAAGAAGAAGAAGAAGAAAAAAAAAUGAUGAUGACGGACAAAAUGCUCGGAAACUAACGAAUGAAUUUUAAAAACUCAAACAAAUAUUUGAACAUCUUUGGUUUGGUUCAAUUUUUAUUUCUGUUUUUGUUAAAAAAAAUCAUCGUUUAAAUGUGAAUCGGAUCAAAUUGAAUCUUUGAUUUUUGUUUUCUUUGAACACAUUCAAUGCCAAAUAUUCCAUACCAUUCUAUUAUCAUCGAAUGAAUUUACAGCCAAUGACCAUUGUUCAGUUUUCUUUCAUAGUUAAUGGUCUUUGGAUCUUGGAUGUUUUAUUGCUUCAAAAUCGAUCGUUUUAUUUGGGGAAUUUAAUGAAUCUUCGAAUCAAUCAAUAAUUGAAGCUAUCAAUAUCGAACAAUAAUUAGUUCGAAGAAGAUCAAUCGGAUUUUUUUUAUUUCAUUCGAAUAUAAUAAUAAUAUGAA